rfam:Enterobacter aerogenes KCTC 2190, complete genome.
UUCAUCUUGUCGGAGUGCCUAUUUUCCACGCGAACGCUGAAGUGGAAAAGGCUGAGACCGUUUAUUCGGGAUCCGCGGAACCUGAUCAGGCUAAUACCUGCGAAGGGAACAAGAGUAAACUGCUG